GAUGAACGCUGGCGGCGUGCCUAACACAUGCAAGUCGAGCGAACAGAUGAGGAGCUUGCUCCUCUGACGUUAGCGGCGGACGGGUGAGUAACACGUGGAUAACCGACCUAUGAGACUGGGAUAACUUCGGGAAACCGGAGCUAAUACCGGAUAAUAUAUUGAACGGCAUGGUUCAAUAGUGAUAAAGGGUUUGGCUGUGACUUGUACAUGGAACCGCGCCGCAGUAGCUAGUUGGUAAGGUAACGGCGUACCAAGGCAACGAUGGGUAGCUGACCUGAGAGGGUGAUCGGACACACUGGAACUGAGACACGGUCCAGACUCCUACGGGAGGCAGCAGUAGGGAAUCUUACGCAAUGGGCGAAAGCCUGACGGAGCAACGCCGCGUGAGUGAUGAAGGUCUUCGGAUCGUAAAGCUCUGUUAUUAGGGAAGAAGAAAAGUGUAAGUAACUAUGCACGUCUUGACGGUACCAAAAGAGAAAGCCACGGCUAACUACGUG
rnacentral:rRNA from 1 species